UAUGUGUGGACCAGUAUUUAGAAAGAUGCCAAGGUUCAGACAUUUAUGUGGAGAGGCAGAUAUUCUCACGGAAAAUGUUUAAUUUGUAUUGGGAGGAAACAUUGUUUUGAGAAUCUGUUGUUGCGAUAUGUACAGAAAAUAAAACUAUACACCGAUUUUGUGAUGUAGUCAGAUUUCCCAUCCAGUCCAUCCGCGAAGAAACUUCUGAUAAUCAAUACAGACUUUCGAUAAUAAAUAUGGAGUACAUAAACAUCAGGUGUAUUACCCAGUUUAACAGGAUAGCAUCGGGAGACCUUCCUGUUACAUACCUCAUAACUUCGAAAUUAAUCUUUCAUUCUUUGCUCAGUAUGCACAAAAACUUGCAGUCGAAGCGCACGUGUUUCAUACAAAUGUAACCGCAUAAUUCCGUUUUCCCACGGCGCGCACACACACGGACAGCAGUGACGCUCAAGGUGUUGGAUAGAAAAACCUUUCAUUUUUUAUGCUUUUUGAGAAGGUGCUAUGAAGAAGCAGAAUCAAUAGGGGCUGAAGUAAUGACGGGCAAACUGAAAUGUUUGUUGUGUCAUCAGGCAGACAGCACGUGAAUUACCAGAUGUGAUCCAAUAAACUCCAAACGGGCUUCCUGCGUCAUAGUAUCUGCCAAAGCGCGGUGGCACCUGUUAUCUGGUGCUCUCUUGACAACUACUGAAACGAACCUAUUUCUAACAGGUCGCGGGAAAAUAUUGGGAAUGGUGGUUUGAAAAGCAUUACUUUCAAGGACCAGCACACAAAACUUGGAAGAUGGAACUGUUGUCCUGUUGAAAAGCUUUUGAAGAAAGAGAUAAUGCAGCAGUGAAACAUCUGGAGCAAACUUCAACCAACACUGACAAUCAAGAUUGUGUUGCUCAAUCAGUUUGGCUUCGAAAAAAAUUGAAAAAAAAUCUUGUUAAUAGCAGAGAAUGCAUAUUCACAUGUAAAACCACCACUUUGCUUUAAGCUUUACUUCAGAUAAUCUGAUGUUGCAGCAACUGACAGUGCUUUUGAGUGUGAUAUUAUGGGUAUGAACAUUUUGUGAUGUAAUGUACCUGAAAUGUUUCUUCAAGAAACUGAAA